rnacentral:rRNA from 1 species
GACGAACGCUGGCGGCGUGCUUAACACAUGCAAGUCGAACGGUGAAGCCGUGUGUUUUUGUGGGCCUCGAGUGGCUAACGGAUGAGUGACUAGUGCGUAACCUACCUUCGACCUUCUGAUGACUUAAGGAAACUAGGGCUAAUACCGGAUAGGUGUUCCUGCUGCGUCGCAGGAUUUGUAUAGUUGCGGUGGCUGGCUAUGGGCUCGUUGCUUAUCAGUUUGUUGGUGGGGUAGUGGCUUGGCAAGGCGGUGAUGGGUAGCCGGGCUGACAGGGUGACCGGGAACAUUCGGACUGAGCUACGGCACGGACUAGUGCGGGAGGCAGCAGAGGGGAAGAUAGCAUGAUGGGCGGAAGCCUGAUGCGGCAACGCCGCGUGCGGGAUGUCAGCCUUCGGGGUGUAAACCGCAGGCGUGUGUGACGAAGCGGGAGUGACGGUAAUGGGUAAAGAAGCGCCGGCUAACUACGUG